rnacentral:rRNA from 1 species
GUGAGGAAUAUUGGACAAUGGGCGCAAGCCUGAUCCAGCCAUGCCGCGUGCAGGAAGACGCAUCUAUGGUGUGUAAACUGCUUUUGUACGGGAAGAAACACUCCCUCGUGAGGGAGCUUGACGGUACCGUAAGAAUAAGGAUCGGCUAACUCCGUGCCAGCAGCCGCGGUAAUACGGAGGAUCCAAGCGUUAUCCGGAAUCAGUGGGUUUAAAGGGUCCGUAGGCGGUUUAAUAAGUCAGUGGUGAAAGCCCAUCGCUCAACGAUGGAACGGCCAUUGAUACUGUUAGACUUGAAUUACAAGGAAGUAACUAGAAUAUGUAGUGUAGCGGUGAAAUGCUUAGAUAUUACAUGGAAUACCAAUUGCGAAGGCAGGUUACUACUUGUGGAUUGACGCUGAUGGACGAAAGCGUGGGGAGCGAACAGGAUUAGAAACCCUGGUAGUCC